GUGAUUCUAGCUCAGUGGUAAAGCGCUUGCCUAGCAUGUAUGAGGCACUGGGUUCAAUCCUCAGCACCACA
rnacentral:tRNA from 1 species